rnacentral:rRNA from 1 species
UGGGGAAUAUUGCACAAUGGGCGCAAGCCUGAUGCAGCGACGCCGCGUGAGGGAUGGAGGCCUUCGGGUUGUAAACCUCUUUCGCCAGUGAAGCAGGCCAUCUUCUUUGUGGGGUGGUUGACGGUAGCUGGAUAAGAAGCGCCGGCUAACUACGUGCCAGCAGCCGCGGUAAUACGUAGGGCGCGAGCGUUGUCCGGAAUUAUUGGGCGUAAAGAGCUCGUAGGCGGCUGGUCGCGUCUGUCGUGAAAUCCCCUGGCUUAACUGGGGGCUUGCGGUGGGUACGGGCCGGCUUGAGUGCGGUAGGUGAGACUGGAAUUCCUGGUGUAGCGGUGGAAUGCGCAGAUAUCAGGAGGAACACCGGUGGCGAAGGCGGGUCUCUGGGCCGUUACUGACGCUGAGGAGCGAAAGCGUGGGGAGCGAACAGG